rnacentral:ncRNA from 1 species
UAUAAGGUGAUGAAGAGGAAAAGUAAAAAGGGGAACGCUCAAGAGAGUCUGCGGUCGCUGGGAGCAGAUGCGGGAAACUUUUGAAUCCGCCUCGGAGCCUGUCAAAUGAAGUGAAUCGCACGGCGAUUAAGUUGGGUGGCAACGCGGGUUCGACUCGUCCCAUAG